AUUGAACGCUGGCGGCAUGCUUUACACAUGCAAGUCGAACGGCAGCGCGGGGCAACCUGGCGGCGAGUGGCGAACGGGUGAGUAAUACAUCGGAACGUACCCAGAAGUGGGGGAUAACGUAGCGAAAGUUACGCUAAUACCGCAUACGUUCUACGGAAGAAAGUGGGGGACCUUCGGGCCUCAUGCUUUUGGAGCGGCCGAUGUCUGAUUAGCUAGUUGGUGAGGUAAAGGCUCACCAAGGCGACGAUCAGUAGCUGGUCUGAGAGGACGACCAGCCACACUGGGACUGAGACACGGCCCAGACUCCUACGGGAGGCAGCAGUGGGGAAUUUUGGACAAUGGGCGCAAGCCUGAUCCAGCAAUGCCGCGUGAGUGAAGAAGGCCUUCGGGUUGUAAAGCUCUUUUGUCAGGGAAGAAACGGCCGAGGCGAAUACCUUUGGCUAAUGACGGUACCUGAAGAAUAAGCACCGGCUAACUACGUGCCAGCCGCCGCGGUAAUAC
rnacentral:rRNA from 1 species